rnacentral:rRNA from 1 species
GACGAACGCUGGCGGCGUGCUUAACACAUGCAAGUCGAACGGACAGGCCCUGCUCUUGUGGGUUGCUCGAGUGGCGAACGCGUGAGUAACACGCGUGUAACCUGCCCUUGACUUUCUGAUAACUUCACGAAACUCGGGCUCAUACCCGAUAUGAGCUCCUGCUGCAUGUUGGGCGUUGGAAAGUUUCGGCGGUUGGGGAUGGACUCGCGGCUUAUCAGCUUGUUGGUGGGGUAGUGGCUUACCAAGCGUUCGACGGCUAGCCGGCCUGGGAGGGUUGACGGCCACAUGGGGACUGAGAGAGGGCGCAGAAUGCUACGGGCGGCAGCAGUGGGGAAUAUUGCACAAUGGGCGGGAGCCUGAGGUAGAGAUCCCGGGUGCGUGAUGACGGCUUUCGGGUUGUAAACCGCUUUCGACGGUGACGAAGCGGGAGUGACGGUAAUGGGUAAAGAAGCACCGGCUAACUACGUG